rnacentral:rRNA from 1 species
AGUGAACGCUGGCGGCAGGCCUAACACAUGCAAGUCGAACGGAAGCACCGUAAGAGCCUGCUUUUACGGGUGGCGCGUGGCGGACGGGUGAGGAAUACAUCGGACUCUCCUUUUUCGUGGGGGAUAACGUCGGGACACUUACGCUACUAAUGCAUACGACCUACGGGUGAAAGCAGGGGAUCUUCGGACCUUGCGCGACUGAAUUAGCCGAUGUCGGAUUAGCUAGUUUGCGGGGUAAAGUACCACCACGGCGACGCUCCGUAGCUGAUGUGAGAGGAUGAGCAGGCACACCGGAACUGAGACACGGUCCAGACUCCUACGGGAGGGAGCAGUGGGGAAUAUUAGACAAGGGGCGGAAGCCGGAUCCAGCCAUACCGCGUGGGUGGAGAAGGCCUUCGGGUUGUAGAGCCCUUUUGUUGGGAAAGAAAAGCAGCAUGUUAAUACCCCGCUGUUUUGACGGUACCCAAAGAAUAAGCACCGGCUAACUUCGUG